CAGCCGCCGCGGUAAUACGUAGGUGGCAAGCGUUGUCCGGAAUUAUUGGGCGUAAAGGGGGCGCAGGCGGGCAUGUAAGUCUUUCUUAAAAGUUCGGGGCUCAACCCCGUGAUGGGAAAGAAACUACAUGUCUUGAGUACAGGAGAGGAAAGCGGAAUUCCCAGUGUAGCGGUGAAAUGCGUAGAUAUUGGGAGGAACACCAGUGGCGAAGGCGGCUUUCUGGACUGCAACUGACGCUGAGGCUCGAAAGCCAGGGGAGCGAACGGGAUUAGAUACCCGAGUAGUCCCUGUCUCUUAUACA
rnacentral:rRNA from 1 species